UAUAUCUGUAUUGUGGUGUGCGUAUGUAUGUGGUGUGUAUGUUUUGUGUUCUUGUAUGUGUGUGUGCAUGUGUGUGUGGUGUGAAUGUGAGUGCUUGUGUGUAUGUUUGUGUGUGUGUUGAGGCCACAGGUGGAUGGCAGGUAUCUUCCUUAGUUGCUCCUCACUUUCAUUUUUAAGACAAGGAUCUUGCACGGAACCUAGAUCUUGGUGACUUGUUGAGACUCGGUGGCAAGCGAGCCCCAGAGAGCUGCUUGUCUCUGCCUCCCUAGCACUAGGACUGCAGAUUUAGCAGUUUGGAUUGACCUCUGAUCCCAGGGCUGUCAACUCAUUGACCGGCAGUGACUUGUAGUAAGUGUCAGUGACGUGUACUAAGGCCUGCUGGCAUGGAAAAAAUGAACUCAACCAAUUACAUUUUCUUUGAACUAAGAACUUCAGGGAGAAGCAAUGCAUUUCCAAGGGUUUUGAUGAUCAAGGAACUGUGGAGGAAUCUUGACAGGCCAAGGGCAAGCUGAACUGCUAAAGCUUCUGAAA
rnacentral:lncRNA from 1 species